GCGAGAGUGGCGGAACUGGCAGACGCGCUGGACUUAGGAUCCAGUGAUUUCACAUCGUGGGGGUUCGAAUCCCCCCUCUCGCA
rnacentral:tRNA from 1 species